UACAGAGGUCUCAAGCGUUGUUCGGAUUCAUUGGGCGUAAAGGGUGCGUAGGCGGCGCGGUAAGUCGGGUGUGAAAUCUCGGAGCUUAACUCCGAAACUGCAUUCGAUACUGCCGUGCUUGAGGACUGGAGAGGAGACUGGAAUUUACGGUGUAGCGGUGAAAUGCGUAGAUAUCGUAAGGAACACCUGUGGCGAAAGCGGCUCACUGGACCAUUACUGACGCUGAGGCACGAAAGCUAGGGGAGCAAACAGG
rnacentral:rRNA from 1 species